AAUAAUUAAUAAAAUAUUGAAUUGUAAAUUCAAAAAUGUUAAUUAACUUU
rnacentral:tRNA from 1 species